GUGGGGAAUCUUGCUCAAUGGGCGAAAGCCUGAAGCAGCAACGCCGCGUGCGGGAUGAAGGCCCUCGGGUUGUAAACCGCUUUCAGCAGGGAAGAAACUAGACGGUACCUGCAGAAGAAGGUCCGGCUAACUACGUGCCAGCAGCCGCGGUAACACGUAGGGGCCGAGCGUUGUCCGGAUUCAUUGGGCGUAAAGAGCUCGUAGGCGGUUCAGUAAGUCGGGUGUGAAAUCUCCGGGCUCAACUCGGAGGGGCCACCCGAUACUGCUGUGACUAGAGUCCGGUAGGGGAGUGGGGAAUUCCUGGUGUAGCGGUGAAAUGCGCAGAUAUCAGGAGGAACACCGGUGGCGAAGGCGCCACUCUGGGCCGGUACUGACGCUGAGGAGCGAAAGCGUGGGUAGCAAAC
rnacentral:rRNA from 1 species